rnacentral:rRNA from 1 species
UUCCGGUUGAUCCUGCCGGAGGCCACUGCUAUGGGGGUCCGACUAAGCCAUGCGAGUCACGGGGUCCCUUUGGGGACACCGGCGGACGGCUCAGUAACACGUCGGUAACCUACCCUCGGGAGGGGAAUAACCCCGGGAAACUGGGGCUAAUUCCCCAUAGGCCUGAGGUACUGGAAGGUCCUCAGGUCGAAAGGGUCUCUGACCGCCCGAGGAUGGGCCGGCGGCCGAUUAGGUAGUUGGUGGGGUAACGGCCCACCAAGCCGAAGAUCGGUACGGGCCAUGAGAGUGGGAGCCCGGAGAUGGACACUGAGACACGGGUCCAGGCCCUACGGGGCGCAGCAGGCGCGAAACCUCCGCAAUGCGGGAAACCGCGACGGGGGGACCCCCAGUGCCGUGGCAUCGCCACGGCUUUUCCGGAGUGUAAAGAGCUCCGGGAAUAAGGGCUGGGCAAGGCCGGUGGCAGCCGCCGCGGUAAUACCGGCGGCCCGAGUGGUGGCCGCUAUUAUUGGGCCUAAAGCGUCCGUAGCCGGGCCCGUAAGUCCCUGGCGAAAUCCCACGGCUCAACCGUGGGGCUUGCUGGGGAUACUGCGGGCCUUGGGACCGGGAGAGGCGGAGGGUACUCCUGGGGUAGGGGUGAAAUCCUAUAAUCCCAGGAGGACCGCCAGUGGCGAAGGCGCUCCGCUGGAACGGGUCCGACGGUGAGGGACGAAGGCCAGGGGAGCGAACCGGAUUAGAUACCCGGGUAGUCCUGGCUGUAAAGGAUGCGGGCUAGGUGUCGGGUGAGCUUCGAGCUCGCCCGGUGCCGAAGGGAAGCCGUUAAGCCCGCCGCCUGGGGAGUACGGCCGCAAGGCUGAAACUUAAAGGAAUUGGCGGGGGAGCACUACAAGGGGUGGAGCGUGCGGUUUAAUUGGAUUCAACGCCGGA